CAUUCACUGUGUAAUGCAGGCCCUUUUGAAGGCUGCACAAAAGUCUUCCUUAAUCCAAGUUGGAUUCAGAUGAUUGAACCAACGCUUUGUGAUACUGGAUGGGUACUGAAAGCCUUCUUUGUGAUUGCUUUUUGAGGUAGUCUUUAUCUAUCCGGGGGGGGGGNNNUGGAUUUCCCCAUGUAUCGCUCUAGUUGUUAUUGGUCAAGUUGAAAGCAAUCUACUCUUAGGAGAUGGUAUUGUUUUGCAUAAAGUUGUAUGACUAUCUCGUUAGAGUUUUUCAAAUGUUUGUCCAUAAUCAAUCAUCAUGGACUCAUUUACAACUUUCAGCAAUGGAUCUCUUGGUUCUCGCAUCGAUGAAGAACGCAUUGAAAUGCNAUAACUGGUGUGAAUUGCAUCCAAGUAACUCUAAUUUACGAAUAACACCAAGUGAAUCAUCGAGUCUUUGAACGCAAUUGCGCCCUCUCGGUCGCUUCCAAUUGGGGGGGUUGACUCAUAGGGGGUACAUCUGUUCGAGGGUCAUUUGAAUCUCUCAAAGGGGGGUUGGUUCACCCCUUUGGAUUUGGGUUUUUGCCGUGAAAUCAUCAUCUUGGCUGACCUUGAAAGCAUUUAGCAAGCUCUUCUUCAGCACUCUCAAGUCUUUUUCCAUGAGGGCGUUCUAAUGGAGGCUCAUCUUAAGCUGGUCUGUGUAGCUGGUGAAUGAUGAAAUACGCCCUGAAUCCAUGGAAGGGGUUCUUCAGUGAUUUGAAACUUGCUCCCAAAUCAUCCUUUAUNAGGGAUGUGUGAUGGACUCCAUUGUGAGCUCUUUCAAUGUAUCAAUGACCUCGAAUCAGAUGAGAUUACCCGCUGAACUUAAGCAUAUCAAUAAGCGGAGGAAAAGAAACUAACAAGGAUUCCCUCAGUAACGGCGAGUGAAGAGGGAAAAGCUCAGUUUUUGGAAUCUGGCAGUGAUUCACUGUCCGAGUUGUAAAUUGAAGAGAGUGCCAUCCAUGCUGGACCAUGUCUAAAUUGUAAUGAUCCACAGUCCUUUGAUGGAGUAUCAGAGAGGGUAAUAAUCCCGUCUUUGGCAUGGACUUUGCCAGCGUUUCUGUGAUGCACUCUCUCAGAGUCGAGUAGUUUGGGAAUGCUGCUCUAAUGGGAGGUAAACUCCUUCUAAAGCUAAAUAUUGGCGAGAGACCGAUAGCGAACAAGUACCGUGAGGGAAAGAUGAAAAGAACUCUGAAAAGAGAGUCAAAUAGAACGUGAAAUUGCUGAAAGGGAAGCAUUUGGAGUCAGACACAUCUUCAUGGGAACACACACCUCAGUAGGGUAGGGGCUGAGAGGGUGUAAGCUUGAGGAUGGGCCAGUCCUCACAAAGACCAUUGAAGAAGGGGUCAUGGAAUGUAGCUCAGUCCUGAGUGAUUAUAGCCUUGAUUCAGAAGCAAUGUGCGUCUCUGUGGGUUGAACAGCAUGAUGAGUGUUNGGCUCUC
rnacentral:rRNA from 1 species